rnacentral:rRNA from 1 species
UGGGGAAUAUUGGACAAUGGGCGAAAGCCUGAUCCAGCCAUGCCGCGUGUGUGAAGAAGGUCUUCGGAUUGUAAAGCACUUUAAGUUGGGAGGAAGGGCAUUAACCUAAUACGUUAGUGUUUUGACGUUACCGACAGAAUAAGCACCGGCUAACUCUGUGCCAGCAGCCGCGGUAAUACAGAGGGUGCAAGCGUUAAUCGGAAUUACUGGGAGUAAAGCGCGCGUAGGUGGUUUGUUAAGUUGGAUGUGAAAUCCCCGGGCUCAACCUGGGAACUGCAUUCAAAACUGACUGACUAGAGUAUGGUAGAGGGUGGUGGAAUUUCCUGUGUAGCGGUGAAAUGCGUAGAUAUAGGAAGGAACACCAGUGGCGAAGGCGACCACCUGGACUAAUACUGACACUGAGGUGCGAAAGCGUGGGGAGCAAACA